rnacentral:rRNA from 1 species
GAUGAACGCUGGCGGCGUGCCUAAUACAUGCAAGUCGAGCGAACAGACGAGGAGCUUGCUCCUCUGACGUUAGCGGCGGACGGGUGAGUAACACGUGGAUAACCUACCUAUAAGACUGGGAUAACUUCGGGAAACCGGAGCUAAUACCGGAUAACAUGUUGAACCGCAUGGUUCAACAGUGAAAGACGGUCUUGCUGUCACUUAUAGAUGGAUCCGCGCCGCAUUAGCUAGUUGGUAAGGUAACGGCUUACCAAGGCAACGAUGCGUAGCCGACCUGAGAGGGUGAUCGGCCACACUGGAACUGAGACACGGUCCAGACUCCUACGGGAGGCAGCAGUAGGGAAUCUUCCGCAAAGGGCGAAAGCCUGACGGAACAACGCCGCGUGAGUGAAGAAGGUCUUCGGAUCGUAAAACUCUGUUAUUAGGGAAGAACAAAUGUGUAAGUAACUAUGCACGUCUUGACGGUACCUAAUCAGAAAGCCACGGCUAACUACGUG